ACGGGUCGAGAAUUGUGUCAGGCUCGUACGACAACAGCAUUAAGCUGUGGGGUGGGCGCCCCACGUUUGCCUGUGUACUUCGAGUACAUAG
rnacentral:SRP_RNA from 13 species